rnacentral:rRNA from 1 species
GUGGGGAAUCUUGCGCAAUGGGCGAAAGCCUGACGCAGCCAUGCCGCGUGGAUGAUGAAGGUCUUAGGAUUGUAAAAUCCUUUCACCGGUGAAGAUAAUGACUGUAGCCGGAGAAGAAGCCCCGGCUAACUUCGUGCCAGCAGCCGCGGUAAUACGAAGGGGGCUAGCGUUGCUCGGAUUUACUGGGCGUAAAGGGCGCGUAGGCUGACAUUUAAGUCAGGGGUGAAAUCCCGGGGCUCAACCUCGGAACUGCCUUUGAUACUGGGUGUCUUGAGUAUGAGAGAGGUGUGUGGAACUGCGAGUGUAGAGGUGAAAUUCGUAGAUAUUCGCAAGAACACCAGUGGCGAAGGCGGCUCACUGGCCCGAUACUGACGCUGAGGUGCGAAAGCGUGGGGAUCAAACAGGAUUAGAAACCCCAGUAGUCC